rnacentral:rRNA from 1 species
CAGCCGCCGCGGGAAUACGUAGGGUGCGAGCGUUAAUCGGAAUUACUGGGCGUAAAGCGUGCGCAGGCGGUUAUAUAAGAUAGAUGUGGAAUCCCCGGGCUCAACCUGGGAACUGCAUUUGAAACUGGCAGGCUAGAGUCUUGUAGAGGGGGGUAGAAUUCCAGGUGUAGCGGUGAAAUGCGUAGAGAUCUGGAGGAAUACCGGUGGCGAAGGCGGCCCCCUGGACAAAGACUGACGCUCAGGUGCGAAAGCGUGGGGAGCAAACAGGAUUAGAGACCCGCGUAGUCCCUGUCUCUUAUAC